rnacentral:lncRNA from 1 species
CUGAUGUGGUCUGCAGGUCUGAGCUGAGUGCCUGUCAUGUGGCUUCUACCCGUGGGUGCUUUCCUGAGGAUGUUUCUCCACACAGACGUUGCUUCUCUUUUACUCUCAGACUUUUUAUUAGUCAGACUGCUGCAUCUGACCGCCUUCUCGGAGAUGUGGCCAUAUUCAGCCCUAAGGAGAUAAGUAUUUUCAAGCAAUGAUUUAAAAAUAGCUAAAAUACCCUUUGUGGGAGAAAAGGGGCAACGGGGCACAUGCAAUCCAUUCUCAUCCACCACAGGUUCACCUCUUACACCUGUUUUUCAUCCUUUGCUCUUAGUUGUGCUUUAGCAAUUUCCCUUUUUUUCCUCUCUUUCUCUCUUUUUUUUUUCUUUUUUUUCCCCAGGUCCCCAUCAGUUCCGAGUUGAUGUCUGGAAGAACCAUAAAAGUAAGAAGAGAGCCUGAAGGACACGACUUGGACUCACUUUUCCAAGAGCCCUUCACCCAGAAGGCAGAAUUGCCUUUUCAGUCCUGCUUACACGAGCAUCCAAGCUGCGUCCUCCUGCAGCUCUGCAAGGAAUCACACCAAAAUCACGGGGAAGCACGAUGAGUCACACGCGGGGUGCAAAGUCACCCAAAGUGCCUGAGACGAGCACAUGAGUGGGAUGGGAGUCAGCCCUGAAAUGAGGGGCGACAAAUGUUGCAAGAACACGACGAGCGUGAGAGCAGCCAUAUGGGAUCAGACCAAUGGUCUGCCUACAACAUGGCCAGAAGCGACGUCUGGAAUAUGGCAACCUUCUCCCCUGGUGCUCUUCCAGUGCUUGGGAGUCAUGGGCAAGCAUGUCCAAAGACUACACAAGCCCACCCUGGCUCCUGGGGUUUGCUGACUCUGAGGUCUGUUGCAGCAUCCAUGUUGCAUCGCCACUUGAACCAGGCGCCGAGGCUUAUGGAGAUGAAGUCAGUCGCAGAGGUGACCUGGGGACACGUGAAUCACCUCGAAGCAGCCCUGGACUUUUGCCUCAUGUCUAUACCAGGUGUUUCACGGCACAGUUUGCUUUAUGCAUACCUCUUUCUUGAGAUACCGGGAACCAAAAAAAAAAGCAGGCUGUUUCAUUUUCUCUCCGUUGGUCAUUAAAAUAGUAUAGAUGCUUUAUAACACGCAUGCCGCAGCUCAGGUCCAAAUAGGGGUUAGGAGGAAACUCAGCGUGCUGGCAGUAAAAAAAUACCAAAACAACCAAAACAACCUCCCCCCCCCACUUCCCUCCUAAUUACAGUUUGACAUCAUGAGCGAGCGAGUGAGUGGUAUUUAUUAAUCUCAUCCCCUGGAGCCAACAACACCGCCGAGUCAGGGUCCGGGAAAAUCUCUGAGUCACAUGGAGAUGCAGAGCCAGGAAAUGUCAGUGAAAGAUAAAGAAGCAAAUAAAGAAGUAAAUAUUAAGGCA